rnacentral:lncRNA from 12 species
CUGAAUCACUUCAUGCCACUUUUGAAAUGACAAUGGGUCAAAAAAAAAAAAAAAUGAGCACAGCGUAAAACAGGAAAAGAAGAGGCUCCUGCUUGUACAGAGGCUGCCCGGCGCUCAGCCAGCCAGGCCCGGGCAGCCUGCUCUCCUCACAGAAGGAAACCUGGAGGCUGGAGUUAUCUACCACAGCUAGGAAGUUUGGAAAAUUAAUUUUAUUCUAAAAAUAAUACAGGUUAUCUGAAGAAAGCUUAGGAAAUACAGAAAAGUAGAGAAAAGGGGGAGAGAUCGUCACAUCUCACUGCCUAGAGCCAACGUUUGUUCAGUUUGGUGUGUGUUCCUCCGGACCUAAAGAUAAGCCUGAGAGGUGCCCAGGCCCCUGCGAGUCCCGCCUGGAGAGGGGCCUCCCGUCAGCCUGCGGCCCAGGGCGACCGGCCGGGACAGGAGGCGGCGGUGCUGAAAGCUCAGGACGACAGGGGCCUGUCGGGGCGCGCCGGUCGGCUAAACUCGUC